rnacentral:rRNA from 1 species
UACGAAGGGGGCUAGCGUUGUUCGGAUUUACUGGGCGUAAAGCGCGUGUAGGCGGGCAUCUAAGUCGGGGUGUGAAAUCCCUGGGCUCAACCUAGGAACUGCACUCGAAACUGGAUACCUGGAGUGAUGGAGAGGAGAGCGGAAUUCCCGGUGUAGAGGUGAAAUUCGUAGAUAUCGGGAGGAACACCAGUGGCGAAGGCAGCUCACUAAACUGUAACUGACGCUGAGGCACGAAAGCGUGGGGACAAACAGG